CAAUGUGAGGGUGAUCUAGCUACAACAUCUGUCACCCCAUUUAUUGCCAGGGUUGAUUUCACUGAUCUGGCUGACUAGAUGGGUUUCCCCUUUCUCCCUCACCACUCCAUGAGCAUCCCUCCUGAAGCUGUGUGCUGGGUCAAAGAGGACAACCGUCCUCCGCUUCUAACCCAGCCCUUCUGCCAAUGGGCCUGGGAAGGCAAAUGAAGUGGGCAUAAGUGG
rnacentral:snRNA from 1 species